AUACGACCAUCUCAGGUGGAAACGCCGGUUCUCGUAAGAUCAUAGAUGUUAAGCAACGUCAAGCCUGGUCAGUAUCUAUAUGGGUGACCGCUUGGGAACACCAGGUGAUGUAA